GCUCUAGGACAGUGUGUGUUGCUCUAGGACAGUGUGUGUUGCUCUAGGACAGUGUGUGUUGCUCUAGGACAGUGUGUGUUGCUCUAGGACAGUGUGUGUUGCUCUAGGACAGUGUGUGUUGCUCUAGGACAGUGUGUGUUGCUCUCGGACAGUGUGUGUUGCUCUCGGACAGUGUGUGUUGCUCUCGGACAGUGUGUGUUGCUCUCGGACAGUGUGUGUUGCUCUAGGACAGUGUGUGUUGCUCUAGGACAGUGUGUGUUGCUCUAGGACAGUGUGUGUUGCUCUCGGACAGUGUGUGUUGCUCUCGGACAGUGUGUGUUGCUCUCGGACAGUGUGUGUUGCUCUAGGACAGUGUGUGUUGCUCUAGGACAGUGUGUGUUUCAACUGGUCUCUGUGUUCCCAUAGGGGUGUUGUGACGUGAAUACCAUUAAUGCGAUGACAAUUAUUUAAUUAAAUCAAUUUACUACGUUUAAAUGAUUAUGUGAUUAAAUUAAUGAUGUAACAAUGAACUCAUUAGCAAUCUUGGGCACCACAGAAAAAGUUUGUUUAAUGAGUUACCAUUUCCCCGAAUUGACUGAAGAAUAUCUGAAUAUACCUUUAUCAUAUUAGUCAUCCAUUAAUUAUUAUUACCUCAUAUCAGUCUCAUUCUGAACAUCGUUGACUUGCACCAACCCAAGUCUGCAUGAUAAUUCAGCGAUACACAAACUGGCUUACUUAUUUAUUUACUGACUAACUAAAUAAUCACACAGAAUGACAUUAACACACACAGGAUAGAUUAUACAUUGAUUACUAACAUAAUGCAAUGAAACGUCCCUCGUGGACUAACCCGAUAUGACGGCUGGUUACACAGUGAAAUGGCUGGGGAAAGAAAGAGCGGGAGAAGGAGAGACAAAGGAAUUCAUCUAUCGUACAUGCAGUUGAAUAAUACGCUCAUCGUAAAUAUGGAUAUUUAACACCCGCUCAUUCAGAUUUAGAAAUGCAAUGUACAUAUUUACGCUUGUAUGUUUUUGUCUACUCGCUCUGCUGAAAUCGCCCGAUCUGUCUGUGACAAAUAGUUCAACAGAAAGUCUCUGGUUGUCCACUAGAGGUCACCAUGUCCUUAGUAGUUGUAGUAGGUUUCAUCUAACUCCAUCUCGUCCCACUAGACCUUCUCUCAUCACCAUGUCCUUAGUAGUUGAAGUAGGUUUCAUCUAACUCCAUCUCCUCCCACUAGACCGUCUCUCAUCACCAUGUCCUUAGUAGUUGUAGUAGGUUUCAUCUAACUCCAUCUCCUCCCACUAGACCUUCUCUCAUCACCAUGUCCUUAGUAGUUGUAGUAGGUUUCAUCUAACUCCAUCUCCUCCCACUAGACCUUCUCUCAUAACAUGUCCUUAGUAGUUGAAGUAGGUUUCAUCUAACUCCAUCUCCUCCCACUGGACUUCCUCUCAUCACCAUGUCCUUAGUAGUUGUAGUAGGUUUCAUCUAACUCCAUCUCCUCCCACUAGACCUUCUCUCAUCACCAUGUCCUUAGUAGUUGUAGUAGGUUUCAUCUAACUCCAUCUCCUCCCACUGGACUUCCUCUCAUCACCAUGUCCUUAGUAGUUGUAGUAGGUUUCAUCUAACUCCAUCUCCUCCCACUAGACCUUCUCUCAUCACCAUGUCCUUAGUAGUUGUAGUAGGUUUCAUCUAACUCCAUCUCCUCCCACUAGACCUUCUCUCAUCACCAUGUCCUUAGUAGUUGUAGUAGGUUUCAUCUAACUCCAUCUCCUCCCACUAGACCUUCUCUCAUCACCAUGUCCUUAGUAGUUGUAGUAGGUUUCAUCUAACUCCAUCUCCUCCCACUAGACCUUCUCUCAUAACAUGUCCUUAGUAGUUGAAGUAGGUUUCAUCUAACUCCAUCUCCUCCCACUGGACUUCCUCUCAUCACCAUGUCCUUAGUAGUUGUAGUAGGUUUCAUCUAACUCCAUCUCCUCCCACUAGACCUUCUCUCAUCACCAUGUCCUUAGUAGUUGAAGUAGGUUUCAUCUAACUCCAUCUCCUCCCACUAGACCUUCUCUCAUCACCAUGUCCUUAGUAGUUGAAGUAGGUUUCAUCUAACUCCAUCUCCUCCCACUAGACCUUCUCUCAUCACCAUGUCCUUAGUAGUUGUAGUAGGUUUCAUCUAACUCCAUCUCCUCCCACUAGACCUUCUCUCAUCACCAUGUCCUUAGUAGUUGAAGUAGGUUUCAUCUAACUCCAUCUCCUCCCACUAGACCUUCUCUCAUCACCAUGUCCUUAGUAGUUGUAGUAGGUUUCAUCUAACUCCAUCUCCUCCCACUAGACCUUCUCUCAUCACCAUGUCCUUAGUAGUUGUAGUAGGUUUCAUCUAACUCCAUCUCCUCCCACUAGACCUUCUCUCAUAACAUGUCCUUAGUAGUUGAAGUAGGUUUCAUCUAACUCCAUCUCCUCCCACUGGACUUCCUCUCAUCACCAUGUCCUUAGUAGUUGUAGUAGGUUUCAUCUAACUCCAUCUCCUCCCACUAGACCUUCUCUCAUCACCAUGUCCUUAGUAGUUGUAGUAGGUUUCAUCUAACUCCAUCUCCUCCCACUAGACCUUCUCUCAUAACAUGUCCUUAGUAGUUGAAGUAGGUUUCAUCUAACUCCAUCUCCUCCCACUAGACCUUCUCUCAUAACAUGUCCUUAGUAGUUGUAGUAGGUUUCAUCUAACUCAAUCUCCUCCCACUUCCUGCCACUGGACUUCCUCUCAUCACCAUAUCUGCUGGUGAGAAGAAUUUCUAAACGGAUGCCUCCGAUUUAUACAUCCUGUGAAUUAUCUGGGUUCUUCUAUCUGUGACAUCGCAGAACAUAUAUUCUAUUUAUCUGUUCUGCUCUAAAUGUUUCCCAUCCCUGAACACCUCCCAGGUGAUACUGACAGACAGUUAUGUGAUUAAACUCCUCUGAUUGG